GCUUGUCUCAAAGAUUAAGCCAUGCAUGUCUAAGUACAAGCCUCAGUAAGGUGAAACCGCGAAUGGCUCAUUAAAUCACACCUAAUCUACUGGAAAGUUACUAGUUACUUGGAUAACUGAGGUAAUUCUUGAGCUAAUACAUGCGAAAAAUCUCGACUCACGGAGAGAUGCUUUUAUUAGAUCAAAACCAAACGGCUUCGGCCGUCUCAUUGGUGACUCUGAAUAACUUUGCGAAUCGCAUAGCUUUAAUGCUGGCGAUGGGUCAUUCAAAUUUCUGCCCUAUCAACUUUCGACGGUAGGAUAGAGGCCUACUGUGGUGAUAACGGGUAACGAAGAAUAAGGGUUCGAUUUCGGAGAGGGAGCCUGAGAAACGGCUACCACAUCCAAGGAAGGCAGCAGG
rnacentral:rRNA from 1 species